rnacentral:scRNA from 1 species
AAGUACAGUAUUAAAUCACAAGCCAUGAGUCUUAAGCCCAGUGUGUAAAGACACAUUCUGAGUUAUAACACAGAGGCAUAACU